ACAGCUCAAAUUUGAAAUCUGGCCCUUUUAGGGUCCGAGUUGUAAUUUGUAGAAGAUGCUUCGGGUGUGGCCCCGGUCUAAGUUCCUUGGAACAGGACGUCAUAGAGGGUGAGAAUCCCGUAUGUGACUGGUUGCCUUCGCCUAUGUGAAGCUCUUUCGACGAGUCGAGUUGUUUGGGAAUGCAGCUCUAAAUGGGAGGUAAAUUUCCUCUAAAGCUAAAUAUUGGCCAGAGACCGAUA
rnacentral:rRNA from 1 species